AGUACAGAAAACCCCAGCCAAAGAUUUCUGCUGCUGCACGAGGUUAGGCGCGACCUGUGGCUUUUGGUUCCUUUCUCCCCACACUAACUUCCCUGUCACUUUUUUCCCCGGAGCAGUUAAAUUGGUAAUAUCAGACAAGUGAUCCUCACGGACCUACCAGUAUGAUCCUAUGAUGCGAUGUUUACCAGUUCAGGCAAGAUGAAAAGCACAGGAAGAGAGGCAGAAGGUACAUGGAAAUCCUCUGGACUCCUCCUCCUUUCCUCCUAAUAAGCCCAGUUGUUACUGGUCUGAGAAUGUUGCCUGUCACAGGGAGACAGCUGGCAGGCUUGUAUCCUGGUGUACUUAGCUUCAAAUAUAGGCUCAAGUAUUCAAUAGAUGAAAAACCACUUUCAGAAUUUUCUUAUGACCAUCACGGACGCAAACCUUACUACCAUAAUGCUUUCUUGAGGGGCUUCCCUGGUGGCACAGUGGUUAAGAGCCCACCUGCCAAUGCAGGGGACAUGGGUUCGAGCCCUGGUCCGGAAGGAUCCCACAUGCCGCGGUGCAACUAAGUCCGUGCGCCACAACUACUGAGCCUGCGCUCUAGAGCCCACGAGUCACAACUACUGAGCCCACGCACCACAACUACUGAAGCCCGUGCGCCUAGAGCCCACGCUCCGCAACAAGAGAAGCCACUGCAAUGAGAAGCCUGUGCACUGCAACGAAGAGCAGCCCCCGCUUGCUG